rnacentral:lncRNA from 1 species
GGGCUAGCUUCGGUUUUCUCCCAUGUUAAUACUCUAUAUUUCGGUGGAGAUUUUAGAAGGCAGGAGCGACAAAGACUCUGGUUGUUAGAGUGCGAUUCCAUUAUGGUUUCGAUUUUGUUGGAUUUUUUCCUUCUUUCUUCCCUAUACCGUUCGAACAUGGCUCGGACAUGGUGACGGAAGAAAUCUAUUGGCAAACUGAAAUUUUGGCUCUUUAUAGAUAGGUAUAGAUUAUAAUUAUAUCUGUGUGGAUUUCAAGACGAGAAAUGUAAACAAAGAGAGUACAGAGAUGGCACGACUCAAUGAACACGGAUGUGGAUAUAAUAAUGAAUUCACGUGUGGAUAAUAUAAACUUCGUUGGAAAAUAGAGGAUCGUUCCACGACCUUUACAGUGCCGUCCUUUGCACCAAUCAAUCCCCAUCGGUUUGUUCUCUUCUUCAGAAAAAGAAAAGUGUCUGCUAAGUCGUAAUGAGUUCGUACUGCAGAGGAUAGGCAAGUACUUCGAGUUAUCCAGAUAAUUAUCCAAAACAUGUAUCAUGGUUUCGAUUUUGUUGGAUUUUUUCCUUCUUUAAUCUCUCUACUGUUCGAAUAUGGCUCGGACAUGGUGACGGAAGAAAUCCAUUGGCAAACUGAAAUUUUAGCUCUUUAUAGAUAUGUAUAGA